AUUGAACGCUAGCGGGAUGCCUUACACAUGCAAGUCGAACGGAGUGGCGAACGGGUGAGUAAUGUAUCGGAACGUGCCCAGUAGCGGGGUAUAACUACGCGAAAGCGUAGCUAAUACCGCAUACUAUUGGAGCGGCCGAUAUCGGAUUAGCUAGUUUGUGGGGUAACGGCUCACCACGCCGACGAUCCGUAGCUUGUUUGAGAGGACGACCAGCCACACGGGGAGUGAGACACGGCCCAGGCGCAUACGGGAGGCAUAAGUGGGGAAUUGUGGAGAAGGGGGGAAACCUUGAUCCAGCCAUCCCGCGUGUGCGAGGAAGUCAUUCGGGUUGGAAAGCACAUUUGGCAGGAAAGCGGUACCAGCAGAAUAAGCACCGGCUAACUACGUGCCAGCAGCCGCGGUAAUAC
rnacentral:rRNA from 1 species